GGAUAAUUAAGCCUUGUCUGGUUUGGGAAGUCCCUGCAUUACAAAUGAUUCAAGCCUGAGAGAUUACUCAGGGACUCUAAGCAUAUCUUGUUUUCACACCCUUCCCAAGGUGCCUAUUGCUAUCCAUCAUCCUACAGAAGUGCGUUUUUUGUAACCUUUACCCUACUGCAGAGCUAUAUCCCAUAGACCAGACAUUUCCUUUUUUCAGUCUUUACCACUUCUACAUCAGCAGCAUUACUGGCAUCACCCUCUUCCAGCAACACAGCCUUGAAGUGCCACUGCAGAAGGCACCCACUGCCAAAUCAACACGAGCACCCAACCUCUAUCUUCCCAUAUAACAAGCAAAAACAUCUGAUUUUCUUUUCCUGAGUGAGGACAAUGAUCCAUAGCCUAUUUUGGGGAGAGCAGGAAGGGGAGACAUUUUGGAUAUAAAUAAACAUCUCUGUAAAUGCUCAGUUGCAAAGAAACCAAUAAGCCAGACUCGUCAGGAAACACAUUUCUCUGUUUGUGUUUCUGCAGACUUAAUAAAUCUUCUCUGUAGUACAAUGGGUAACAAACAGUUUGGAAGAAAAAGAUUUGAUUAUGUCUCUUCUUUUUCCAGGGGAAACCUGGCUUGCCAGGCCCUGUAGGACUGGAUGGUGUUCCUGGACUGCCUGGACCACGUGGAGAAAAGGGGAUGGCUGGAACUGGCAUUCCUGGCACUGCUGGCUCGAAGGGGGAAGAAGGAGAGCAGGUGGGUGGCCUUUCUGCAGUGACACCUCUGCUGAAGUCCCCUUAGAGGGCUCAGAGUCUCCUCCAGGACCUCCCCUCUAGCUUCUCCUUGGUGGGUACAACCCAUGGUUUUGAAGGAAAGGGACAAAGAAGGGAAGACUUGGGCUUUUAAAGCUUGAGUUUUCACUGUUUCAUUUUUUAUUUUUUAUUUUUUAUUUUUUUUUAGGGGGCGAUGGGCCCUCCAGGAGUACCAGGUCCAAAGGUGGGUACUGAAACGCUGAACCUGAGUCACUGUGCUUGAUACUCAGGUGCCAAGGUGCAUCCAGUGUUACCCAUCAUCACUGGAUGUAGGAACAUUGAUCCCUUCCUUGAAAGCAAGGAAAGGGAAUAAAUAAUUCUUUGCAUCAGCA
rnacentral:lncRNA from 1 species